rnacentral:rRNA from 1 species
UACGUAGGGUGCGAGCGUUAAUCGGAAUUACUGGGCGUAAAGCGUGCGCAGGAGGUUCUCCAAGUCCGGUGUGAAAGCCCCGGGCUCAACCUGGGAAUGGCAGUGGAAACUAGGGGACUGGAAUCUGGCAGAGGGGGGUGGAAUGCCGCGUGUAGCAGUGAAAUGCGUAGAGAUGCGGCGGAACACCGAUGGCGAAGGCAGCCCCCUGGGCUGAGAUUGACGCUCAGGCACGAAAGCGUGGGGAGCAAACAGG